AUACGUAGGGGGCGAGCGUUGUCCGGAAUGAUUGGGCGUAAAGGGCGCGUAGGCGGCCCGGUAAGUCUGGAGUGAAAGUCCUGUUUUUAAGAUGGGAAUUGCUUUGGAUACUGUCGGGCUUGAGUGCAGGAGAGGUAAGUGGAAUUCCCAGUGUAGCGGUGAAGUGCGUAGAGAUUGGGAGGAACACCAGUGGCGAAGGCGACUUACUGGACUGUAACUGACGCUGAGGCGCGAAAGUGUGGGGAGCAAACAGGAUUAGAUACCCUGGUAGUCCACACUGUAAACGAUGAAUGCUAGGUGUAGGGGGUAUCGACCCCUUCUGUGCCGCAGUCAACACAAUAAGCAUUCCGCCUGGGGAGUACGGCCGCAAGGUUGAAACUCAAAUGAAUUGACGGGG
rnacentral:rRNA from 1 species